rnacentral:lncRNA from 1 species
UCAAACACCUUUCUUUUUUACAACAAUAACUCUCUCAAAAGAGUCGAUAAAGAGAUACAAAAUAAGCUCUAUGAACAACUCAAUGUUGUCUCUCAAAUGGCUCAACAAAAGCUCUAUUAUGAUGCACAAAUGAUGAUCAAUAUGUAUAUGAAUAAUGAGUGGUGUUGUGUGUUGCAAUUCAGCUCAAAAGACCUCUAUUUAUAGGUGGUAGAAGUAG